rnacentral:rRNA from 1 species
CAGCCGCCGCGGGAAUACGAAGGGUGCAAGCGUUAAUCGGAAUUACUGGGCGUAAAGCGUGCGUAGGCGGUUUGUUAAGUCUGCUGUGAAAUCCCCGGGCUCAACCUGGGAAUGGCAGUGGAUACUGGCAAGCUAGAGUGUGUCAGAGGAUGGUGGAAUUCCCGGUGUAGCGGUGAAAUGCGUAGAGAUCGGGAGGAACAUCAGUGGCGAAGGCGGCCAUCUGGGACAACACUGACGCUGAGGCACGAAAGCGUGGGGAGCAAACAGGAUUAGAUACCCCCGUAGUCCCUGUCUCUUAUAC